CCUACGGGAGGCAGCAGUGAGGAAUAUUGGUCAAUGGGCGCGAGCCUGAACCAGCCACGUAGCGUGGAGGAUGACUGCCCUACGGGUUGUAAGCUUCUUUUAUAAAGGAAUAAAGUGCGGCACGUGUGCCUUUUUGUAUGUACUUUCUGGAUACAGCUCGGCUAACUCCGUGCCAGCAGCCGCGGUAAUCCGGAGGAUCCGAGCGUUAUCCGGAUUUAUUGGGUGUAAAGGGAGCGUAGAUGGGUUGUUAAGUCAGUUGUGAAAGUUUGCGGCUCAACCGUAAAAUUGCAAUUGAUACUGGAAGGCUUGAGUACAGUUGAGGUAGGCGGAAUUCGUGGUGUAGCGGUGAAAUGCUUAGAUAUCACGAAGAACUCCGAUUGCGAAGGCAGCUUACUAAACUGCAACUGACAUUGAUGCUCGAAAGUGUGGGGAUCAAACAGGAUUAGAUACCCUAGUAGUC
rnacentral:rRNA from 1 species